CGGAGUGUAGCUCAGCCCGGUAGAGCACUGCUUUCGGGAAGCAGGGGCCGGAGGUUCGAAUCCUCUCACUCCGACCA
rnacentral:tRNA from 2 species